AUGACAAAGAGGGUACAAGAAAACAGAGAAAAAUCUGAGAAGUGGACUAACAAUCCAAUUUGCCCAAAUAUCUUUAAAAAGCUUAAGGUGAGCAUCAAAUUGACUCAAUUUUGUGACGUGCUCUGGAAUGGGAAAGAGGGAUUUGAGGUUAAGCAUGUCAGUGGAAGAGGAAGGACCUAUACAGUAAAUUUAAAGAAGAGGACAUGCUCUUGUGGGUACUUACAGCUUGCAGGCCUACCUUGCUGCCAUGCUAUAAGUGCUAUAUAUAAGUCUAGUAGAAGAAUUGAAGAUUUUAUUGAAAAGUGUUACUUAGUUGAGCAGUUCAAGAAAAUAUAUGAGCAUUGUUUGCAACCAGUUGAAGGUGAGGAAAGGUGGCCUAUUUCUCAGAAUCCCAGACCACAAGCUCCAGGAUAUGUUAGCAUGCCUGGUAGGCCUAGGAAGAAUGACAGGAGGAGGGAAGAAGGAGAAGCACCAAAAGGAAAUAAGAUGUCAAAACAUGGGAUUAAGAUAACUUGCAGUAUGUGUGGCAGCAAAGGCCACAAUAAGACAGGUUGCCACAAAAAUGCAGAAAAAGGGAAGAAAAAGAAUGCCUUUUUGAAGAAAACAGGGAGGAAAAUGAAGGAAACUGAGGUAUAUAAUUCUGCAGAUUUAUCAUUAAUUAUGCAUUUCUUGUAA
rnacentral:rRNA from 1 species